rnacentral:lncRNA from 1 species
UUUUUUUUUUUUUUUAAGAUUUCUUUAUUUAUGAGAGAGAGAGAGAAAGAAAGCGCAUAAGCAGGAGAGGCAGAGGGAGAGGGAGAGAGGAUCUCAGGCAGACUCCAGGCUGAGCUUGGAGCCUGACACAGGGCUCAAUCUCAGGACCCCGAGAUGACAACCUGAGCUGAAACCAAGAGUCAGCUGCUUAACUGACUGCGCCACUCACAUGCCCCUUAAGUUUUUUAACACAAAAUAAAAUAAAUAGGACAACACAAUGGAAAAAGAUAAUAGAUUAUUUGAUUGCAUUGCUGUAUUUUUUAGAGGGGAAAAUUCAUACUUAUAUAUUGAUCUAUUGUAGUAUGACAAUAAAAUUAUAGUUUCUGUCAUUUUAAUCUUGUUCUACAAACUUGUCAAUGAUUUUGUCAAAAUUCUUUUCUUUACAUCUUUAUGUUCAGUAGACAAUAUAAUUCUUUUUGGGUCAAGAAUGCCUUUUAAAUUAAUUGUAAUGUCAUAAAGUUUCCUUUGUUACAGGAUUUCUUUUCCUUCAGUGUCCCCAGGGUUCUUGGUCAUGCUGCUUGGAAGGAUGAACAUGUAGACCCGAUGAAGACAGGUGGACAGCAAAGAAAAGUUUAUGGAGCAAUAGUAAAGUUUACAGGGUGAUAGUACAAAGGUCUCAAAGAGGGAAGGGACCUGAGAAGGUUGCCGAUUUGGUGUUCAGAUCUAGGGGGUUUUAUGGGCUUGUUAGCAGGCAGUUUUAAUCUGAUUAACCCUCCAUGCUCCUAGUACCCAAUCAAGUUUUUAUCAUCUACUUAUCAUAUGGAGGAAGAGGGUGGAGGGCUUCUUUCAGGGUGGUGUAAAAUCCUUUUAAGGAUGAUUUUGUCUCAGGGCUGGGCAGUGCGGGGCUUGUCCCUGUCUGCCUUUCUUCCAUCUAUCUUUCAUUACUUUCACAUGAAAGAACAGAUAUACAAAUAGCUAAGAAGACUCUUAAACAUAAGCAUAAGCCUGUCAAAGUUCCACAAAAGUCUCGUUUCAUAAUAAAUUCCAGAAACUGCAUACUGUCCAUGUCUUUUUUUAUCAGUUCUAGUUCCUUCCACAUGUUUUCAUGAUCAGAAAAGUUCCACAGAGCACUUACACCAGAAAUUCAUCUUAAAUUUCUAUUAUCUUGAGUAAAAAAUGAAGUUUUUCUUCUGAUUUAGGACUCAUACAGAGAUCGUGAUGAAAAUGAUCAGGAUAUUCAAACAAUGCCUUGUUAUUUCUCCAGCAACAUUAAGACCACUAUCUUAUGUUAUUUCUCCAGAUAUUUUUCUUCUAACUUGAUUCCUUAAUCUAUGUAAAUGUUCAAUACACUUUAUGUAUUUAAUAGCCUUUCCCUCCAUUUUUUGUGCACCAUUUUUCAAGGAACAAGUUUGAAGGUUGCUGUUUUCACUAUACCAUUAAACUGAUUCCAGCUGUUGCAACUAUAUUUAGGUCUUUACCACACCAGAAAGAAAAUGCAAUUCAGAAAAGAAAAAUCACAUACAGAUAUCUUUAUUUCCGAUGUACUGUUCAAAAGUGACAAUAUAUAGUACCACAGGAGUUGGAAAUAUAAACUACGGCAAAGGCAAGCUUGAAAGAUUCUGAACAAUUACAAAUUCUCUCUUGAAAUGAACUUACUAGCCAAAUCCAUGUGUAUUGGAGGCCAACAGCAUAGCAGGACUUCUGUGAAUUCAUUACCAUGUAAAAUGUUUACUUAAGAGAUGAAUUAAAUUUGCUAAUUUAAAAAAGGAGAUUUUAUUUAUUCAUGAGAGACACACAGAGAGAGGCAGAGACACAGGCAGAGGGAGAAGCAGGCUCCCUGUGGGGAGCCCAAUGCAGGACUCCAUCCCAGGACCCUGGGAUCACACCCUGAGCCAAAGGCAGAUGCUCAACCACUGAGCCACCCAAGUGUCCCUAAAUGUGCCAAUUUAAAGCAUAUAUAUAUAUAUAUUAUUGAAACUCAACUGCCAUCGUAGGAAAUAUUUAGAAAUUAGACCAGAAAAAUAUUUUUCCCCCACUGGAAGUGCUUAAGAAUUGCUGGACAUGGUGAUAAUUUAAAAGCAGACCAACUGUUCAUCAGUUUCAUUAUGUUUUUAAAUUUUCUACAGGAAAUGUACCCCCUGAUUGUCUGUAUCCCAGGUGGAUUGAAUAUCCAACCCCUGCUCAAAUACAGAUGGAUGAUCACAUAACUAUCCACUUACUAGAAUAGAAAAUAGGCAAACCCUCAACAGACCUAGAACAAGCAAUACAAUCAGGAAGCUGCAAAUGCCUCUCUUGAUGCCUUUAAGGUUAAGUUAAAGUUUUUCAUCAUGAUGAUGUGGAUAGAGUUUUAUCACUCUGUAUUCCAGGAUCUCCUUAAAAAGUUGAGUCAUUAACAGUAGUCCUAGUUUCAGUAGUUUCUGGGAGAAAAGAGACAUUUGCAGAAAUUCCUAACCCAUAUAGUCCAUUUCUAUGGGAUUCGAGUCUUCUCCCUAACAAUGAAAUGUGGCCUUUUCUUAAACAGAGCCCUGUUCCCACACAUUUCUGGUGAGACACACUCAAAAAACCAAACCAAACAUAAACAGAUAAAAUGUGCCUUUUGCUCAGACACAGAAACCACAUUGUGGGUGGAGAAAUAGGAAUGUCCUCUUAAUGUCAUAUAACCCCUGCACCUGUCCCAAAGUCAGCAUACCUUCUGCAAAAAAGGCAAGGCAACCACUUAGCUCAUGGGAAAGAAGAGUGGCCAAACCCAGCUGAGUUGCAGUGGCAGAAAUUCAGGAAAACAUAAUGAAGCGCAUGUUGGAAUGUCAGUGAUAUAUGCAAUGUCUUCCUUCUACUGGAGAAAAAUCCUUAUUUUUCCUAUAAAUAAUUCCUUUGGAAAUAUCUCUAUGGAAGAAACAAAAGUCCUAAGAUUUCUAACUUCACUUCUGAGUUUCUUCUGUUUUUUCCCCUACCCUGUCUAGCCACCCAGAGCUCAGUUAAUCCUCCUGAAAAUAAAAUACUUUUGCCGUUGUUUCCAGCCUUAUUCUCUUGGCCAUUAUGUUUUCAUGCCAGCUCCUCAACCAUGAUUAUAUGAUCCGUGUAUCAGUGAAACAAAGCUCAGAAUAAGCCCGAGACCUUGGGAUGUUCACCUCAUAGCUCAUUUUGACAGAUUUAUUUAAGGAGGGGUUUUUGUUGUUGCUGUUGCUGGGUUUAUUGCUUUUUUUUGCUUUGUUUUGUUAUUUUACUGUUUUUUUUUCCUUUUCCAAUUAAAAAUAUCUCCAGGUUCAAGGCCAAAUUCAUAUACUUAUGUAGUGGAUUCCUUGGGAUUAGUCUCCAUAGGAGCUACCUCUCCUGCCAAGCCACAGAGUGCAUCAGACCCUCCCCUCUGUGAAAAGGACAAAUUCCUGGGGUUCUGAAACUUUGCUUAAUGCCAAAGUGCAGUGUGCU